rnacentral:rRNA from 1 species
CCUACGGGAGGCAGCAGUGGGGAAUAUUGCGCAAUGGGCGAAAGCCUGACGCAGCGACGCCGCGUGAGGGAUGAAGGUCUUCGGAUCGUAAACCUCUGUCAGCAGGGAAGAACGGUCACUGUGCUAAGCAGCAGUGAAUUGACGGUACCGGACCAAGAAGCCCCGGCUAACUACGUGCCAGCAGCCGCGGUAAUACGCAGGGGGCAAGCGUUAGCCGGAUUGACGGGGUGGAAGGGGGGCGGAGACGGCAAUGCAAGCCAGGCGUGAAAGCCCGGGGCCCACCCCAGGGACUGCUCUUGGGACUGCCUGGCUGGAGCACAGGUGGGGCAGGCGGAAUUCCUCGUGUAGCGGUGCACUGCGUAGAUAUU